AACUCAUGCAAUCACAUUCUUUACAUUUCUUUUACUUUUGCUAACUCUAGCAAUUAUGUUCUUUACAUUUCUCGUUCUUAUUGCCCCACUUUACUUCAACUUUGCACAUUCGUUAUUCUUUAUACGUUCUUUAUUGCUCUCUUUGCUCUAGCUUUAGUGAUCUUUAUCAUUCUUUAUAUCACUUCGAUUCUUUGCUUCACACUAACUCUAGUGUCACUUUACUUUACAUUAUCUAGUU
rnacentral:lncRNA from 1 species